rnacentral:rRNA from 1 species
UCGAACGAAGUAGCAAUACUUAGUGGCAGACGGGUGAGUAACAUGUAGGUAUCUGCCCUUUGGCCUGAAUAACACGAGGAAACUUGUGCUAAUACCGGAUAAGUCUUUACGGAGAAAGCUUUAUGCACCAUUGGAUGAGCCUGCACUUGAUUAGUUUGUUGGUGGGGUAAUGGCCUACCAAGACUGUGAUCAAUAGCCGAUUUGAGAGGAUGAUCAGCCACAUUGGGACUGAGACACGGCCCAAACUCCUACGGGAGGCAGCAGUGGGGAAUCUUGCACAAUGGAGGAAACUCUGAUGCAGCGAUGCCGCGUGAGUGAAGAAGGCCUUUGGGUUGUAAAGCUCUUUCGUCGGGGAAGAAAAUGACUGUACCCGAAUAAGAAGGUCCGGCUAACUUCGUGCCAGCAGCCGCGGUAAUACGAAGGGACCUAGCGUAGUUCGGAAUUACUGGGCUUAAAGAGUUCGUAGGUGGUUGAAAAAGUUGGUGGUGAAAUCCCAGAGCUUAACUCUGGAACUGCCAUCAAAACUUUUCAGCUAGAGUAUGAUAGAGGAAAGCAGAAUUUCUAGUGUAGAGGUGAAAUUCGUAGAUAUUAGAAAGAAUACCAAUUGCGAAGGCAGCUUUCUGGAUCAUUACUGACACUGAGGAACGAAAGCAUGGGUAGCGAAGAGGAUUAGAUACCCUCGUAGUCCAUGCCGUAAACGAUGUGUGUUAGACGUUGGAAAUUUAUUUUCAGUGUCGCAGCGAAAGCGAUAAACACACCGCCUGGGGAGUACGACCGCAAGGUUAAAACUCAAAUGAAUCGAC